UCCAUCGAAAAUUCUAAUUUCAUGUUUCCAGCUCCUAUUUCCCCCCGAUGUUAAAAGUAGUCCGCGCGCCCUAAAGUUAAAAAAAAUUAAAUUGAAAAAGAUCAGGCUCGAUCAUGCCCUAAUCUCUAGCUCCUUUAGAUAUUUUAUCCUUGGUUCCGUAUUCUAUAACCUAAUCUCCACUUCUCAAGUUGAUACCUUAGACACGAAUCACGCUUCACAAGCUCAAGCUCAUAUUCGACAACGACACCAUCAUCGGUGCCGGACCAUCCAAGUGCAAUGUAGCAGACCAUACCAUCAUAACAAAAGGUGCAAAUCUCAGCCCUUUCUCAAAUGAUCGAUCCUCUCUCAAGUUUUCUCAUUUCAGUUGGUCUUUUUGUAUUCUUCUUUACUCUUCUCUACGCUUAUCUCUAUUUUUUUUCUUAAACUGGAAUGUUUUGAUUGAAUUACAAAUGUUGCUAUGGAGUGAAACUGGAAUUAGGAUGAAGAAGCUAUGCUCAAGGAAAGUGCAUAUAAGGUGUUUGUAGAAAUGCAGAAGAGAGAAUAGAGGAUCUACUGAAGCCCACAACUGAAUGGUCUUUUCUCUAGUAGCUCUUACCCUUUUGUAUCUAAUCAAUUCAUCCAUUUCAUAACAUUAAAACAUGAUUGCAGAAAUGGUUAUGGAAGCCCAAGUCUAUAUUGAGGUUUAUCUAGUGCAAGUUUUUUUCUUAUGGUUAUGUUUAGAAGGUUUCCAUGAACCAGUCACAAAAUAUCAAGUGAUAUUGUUUAUGAGUUUAUUUGUAGUCACUUACAAACCAUAACCAUCAGGUAUGAACUCAUUAUUUUGGUUUAUUAAUACCAUAUCUACAAAGUACAUGAUUGUGUCACUGUUUUGAAAAAAAAUAUAUAUUUUAAUGAUGCCAUCAUUUUGAAAGGAGAUAAUAUUAGUAUGUUGUACUUGGGUAUUUGAUUCUUCAAAUCAACUAUAUAUUGAUGUUAAAUGGUUGUAAUUUACUUAUUUUUGGAUUAAGUUGACUAUAGCAUACUAGUUUUAGAUUAUAACGGCCAUAAUGUAUUUAUUUUUAGAUUAUCAUUUUAUAAUUGCUAGAAUAGUUAAGCUAUUUUUUUUGUAGGCUUUCUUACCAGUCGAAGUGACUCUACAAACAUACAAGGGACCGAGAUGAUUAUUGAAAACGUUUGUAUUUUAAAUAUAUUGAGAAUAUUAUUUUUAGAAUUAUUUAAGUUUUCUGAAGACGUCUUUAUUUUAAAUAUAUUGAAAAUAUUAUUUUUAGACAAGUUUGAA